GUGGGGAAUAUUGCACAAUGGGCGCAAGCCUGAUGCAGCAACGCCGCGUGAGGGACGACGGCCUUCGGGUUGUAAACCUCUUUUAGUAGGGAAGAAGCGAAAGUGACGGUACCUGCAGAAAAAGCACCGGCUAACUACGUGCCAGCAGCCGCGGUAAUACGUAGGGUGCAAGCGUUAUCCGGAAUUAUUGGGCGUAAAGAGCUCGUAGGCGGUUUGUCGCGUCUGCUGUGAAAACUGGAGGCUCAACCUCCAGCCUGCAGUGGGUACGGGCAGACUAGAGUGCGGUAGGGGAGAUUGGAAUUCCUGGUGUAGCGGUGGAAUGCGCAGAUAUCAGGAGGAACACCGAUGGCGAAGGCAGAUCUCUGGGCCGUAACUGACGCUGAGGAGCGAAAGCGUGGGGAGCGAACAGGAUUAGAUACCCCGGUAGUCC
rnacentral:rRNA from 1 species